AUGGCUUAUGUGGAUGGACAUGCUUUUUUCCUCUGGAUAUUCUGCUGUGUUGCUAAAUGGGGUCCCUGGGAAGCAGUUUCUGUGCAAAACAGGAGUGAGGCAGGGAGAUCCUCUCUCUCCAUUGCUUUUUUGCUUGCUGCAGAUCUUUUGCAGUCUAUUCUGAAUGAGGCCAUGCAUAACAACUUGAUCUCAAGAGCACUUGAGCAGCACCACUGUCCUGAUAUCCCAGUCAUUCAAUAUGCUGAUGACACUGUUUUGAUUAUGCCAGCCUCUGCAAUGCAAGUGGAACAGCUCGAGAACCUCAUUCUCCAUUUCACAGUUUUUACAGGGUUGAGAGUUAACUUUGACAAAUCAGCCAUGGUGCCUAUCAACAUAGGGAAUGAGGUCAUGCAAGCUUUAGCUGCCAGACUGGUGUACUCUAUUGGCUCCUUCCAUUUCACAUAUCUUGGACUACCUUUGUCACUCUCCAAGCCUAAGCUGGAAGAUUUUUUUCUUGUCAUCAAGAGGAUUGACAGAAGAUUGUCUAGUUGCUCAACUUUUCUAUCCUAUGGAGACAAGCUUACUCUCAUCAAAUCUGUCUUUGUACAUCUUCCUAUUUUCUUCAUGUGCACCCUUGAUCUACCAAAGGGCAUAAUUGAUCAAAUCAAUAAAGCUUUAAAGCAUUGCUUCUGGAGGAAAUAUGGCAUGGAGGACAGAGGUACUACAGUCAUAGCCUGGGACAAAGUUUGUCUGCCCAAAGAUCAGGGAGGAUAG
rnacentral:rRNA from 1 species